GGGCCCGUAGCUUAGCCAGGUCGGAACUGCCCGUCAAAAGGCAGCGACAAGCGCUCGGCUGAUAACCGAGAGGCCCUGCGUUCAAAUCGCAGCGGGCCCA
rnacentral:tRNA from 1 species